UCCUGGCAUGGUGGCUCAUGCCAGUAAUCCGAGCUACCUGGGAGGCUGAGGUGGGAGGAUCUCUUGAGCCCAGGAGUUUGAGGCUACAGUGAGCUAUGAUGACACCACUGCACCCCAGCCUGGGCAACAGAGUGAGACCCCAUCUCUA
ensembl:misc_RNA Metazoa_SRP Metazoan signal recognition particle RNA